UCAUAGGCAUGGGCUUUCUGGGACACCUGGCUCAUGCAGUGCUAGGGAUCGAGUGGAGGGCUUUGCUUAUGUUAGGCAAGCACUCUACCAACUGAACUCCAUCUUAGGCUGGAGGUUGAGAUUUCUUAACCCUCCUUUCUCCUUUCACAAUUUAGUUACAACCUGAUCAUCACUCGUUCCUGGUUCUAUAUUUAAUUCUUCCAAAAUAACAUAUUUGCGAAGUUUUCCAUCUUACAUAAGAUUUUCUUGCAGUGAGUUAUCUUUUUGUUAGGUAUAUCAUUGUAUUUUACUUCUAAUUAUUAGGAUGACCUCCGACUAUCUGUAGUGUUAUUCUCAUCCAAGGAGAGUGAGUCUUAGAGAGUUUACUGGUUUUUGUAAACCUAAACUCGUAUUUCAUGAUUCAAACACAUAUAUAUUUUUUGAUUUUGUAAUGAAAUACUAUUUAAUCUUGUGUCUUUUAUCUAAUAAUUUUCCAUAAUAACAUAUUUCCAACUAAAUACACAUUUAGUUAAUUAAUAUAGAUGGAUAUAUGCCUUUGAAAUAUACUGACAUAUAUAUAAGUUAGAAAACCUUGUAUAUAUUUUUGGAAUUUAAUAGUUCAUAUGCUAUAUUGAAUAGAUAAAUAUCUUACUUGCAGUUAUUAGAAAAGUAUAAUAACUAAUUAGGUCUCCGUUCUCUGUUCUGGAGAUUAGUUGUAGACUAGAUAACAAGGUCCUUUCCACAUUAAAUAGUCUAUUUCUGAAGGUGAAUAGUAUUUCUAAAGUUGAAUGGAUGGGUAGCCCCAUCCCUCAGCUGGGGGCCAUGCCUAUCCACUGGAUAUGGUCUCUACAGGUUCUAUCUCCCCUUUGUUGGUUAUUUCGGCUAAUGUCAUCUCCAAUGGGUCCUGGGAACCUCUUGCUUCCCUGGCAUCUGGGACUUUCUAGUGGCUACCCCCAGUUCCCCAUCCCUCACUGCCUCAUAUUUCUGUUUAAUUUUCUGUCUCUUCCCAUACCUGAUCCUGCCCCCUCUCUCCCUCCUCCUUCUCUCACCCUCCCAGGUCUUUCUCUCCCUCUACCUCCCAUGAUUAUUUUGGUCCCCCUUCUAAGUAGGACUGAAGCAUCCACACUUUGGUCUUCAUGCUUCUUAAACUUCAUAUGGUCUGUGAGUUGUAUGUGGGUAUUCUGAGCUUCUGGACUAAUAUCCACUUAUCACUUAUACCAUAUGUGUUCUUUUGUGUCUGGGUUACCUCACUCAGGAUGAUAUUUUCUAGUUCCAUUGAUUUACCUGUGAAUUUCAUGAAAUCAUUGGUUUUAAUAGCUGAGUAAUAUUCCAUUGUGUAAAUGUACCACAUUUUCUGUAUCCAUUCUUCCUUUGAGGGACAUCUGGGUUGUUUCAGCUUAACUCAGAAUUGUUCCUAUCUAAAGGAACUGCAGAGACAAAAAUGGAGCAGAGACUGAAGGAAAGGCCAUUCAGAGACUGCUCCGCUUAGGGAUCCAUUCCCACCUGCAGGCACCAAACCCUGACACUAUUGCUGAUGCCAAGAAGCACUUGCUGACAGGAGCCUUGUAUGGCCGUCUCCUGAGAACUUCUGCCAGUACCUGACCAAUACAGGUGCAGAUCCUCACAGCCAACCAUCGGACUGAGCCCGGGAUCCCAAUGAAAGAGUUAAGGGAAGAACUGAAGGAGCUGAAGGGAAUAGCAACCCCAUAGGAAGAACAACAAUAUCAACUAACCUGACCACCCACAGCUCCCAGGGACAAAACCACCAACCAAAGAGUACACAUGGAGUAACCCAUGGCUCCAGCUACUUAUGUAGUAGAGGAUUGCUUUAUCUGGCAUCAAUGGGACGAGAGGCCCUUGGUCCUGUAGAAGCUGGAUACUCCAGCGUAAGGGGGACAGUAGAGCAGUGAAGCGGGAAUGGGGGGUAGGAGCACCUUCAUAGAGGCAAAGGGGAGCGGGGAUGAGAUAGGGGAUUUGCAGAGGGGGAACUGGGAAGGGGACAGCAUUUGAAAUAUAAAUAAAUAAAAUAACC
rnacentral:lncRNA from 1 species